UACGUAGGGCGCAAGCGUUUGUCCGGAAUUAUUGGGCGUAAAGAGCUCGUAGGCGGUUUGUCGCGUCUGCUGUGAAAACCUAAGGCUCAACCUUGGGCUUGCAGUGGGUACGGGCAGACUAGAGUGCGGUAGGGGUGACUGGAAUUCCUGGUGUAGCGGUGGAAUGCGCAGAUAUCAGGAGGAACACCGAUGGCGAAGGCAGGUCUCUGGGCCGAUACUGACGCUGAGGAGCGAAAGCGUGGGGAGCGAACAGG
rnacentral:rRNA from 1 species